GACGUUUUUGAGUUCUAUGAUUGGUCAAUAACAGAGCGCGGAUUUUUCCAUGGACGAUUUGAAUGUUUGGAUGUUGAAAGUGUUGAUAGAAAAAAAGGAGAUAAAACCAGUUGCAGAAUAUUGGUACAUGAUGUUUCCAUGAGCUGAAUCUGUCCUGACCUGGAGUACAUGAAAUUCUUCAAAAUAUUACUUGUUUUAGAAUUGAAGAAAAGGUUAAAAUUGCAAGCAUAUUUCAACGAAAACUUAGCCGACUACCAGUCACACUGCCUGCCAGCCAAGACGUCUGACCAGCUAAAAUGAGGGACGCAGACCACCAGCCAAGUCCC